CAACAAAUAGAGGUUUUCAUAGCAUAAUUUAACAGCGUUUUUUUAUAAAUGCUAUUGUAGAGGGACAAUAAUAGCGUUCUUGCUCUUGAAAGACACGGAGAGAAGCCGAAGUGAAACUACAGCGUUUCAUUAAUUAUAUUAUAGCGUUCCACCCAAUUUUUUUUUUAUCCGCUUCCACCCAAUUUAUCCGACCCACUCCUCUCUCUCCAUUCCUCUUCCCCACUCUGCAUCUUCUCGUUUCAAGACUCUUUUUGUCUCUCUCUCUCUCUCUCUCUCUCUCUCUCUCUCUCUCUCUCUCUCUCUCUCUCUCUCUCUCUCUCCGCAAUGAAGUCGGAAGACCCCAGCGUAGCCGACCUUGCGGAUAUAUAUCAAGCCCCCAAAAAGAUCCUCGAGGAAGUGGCCACUAUCCCGUCGAAGCUCCUCCGCAACAAGAUAGCGGGAUUCUCGACCGACCUCAUGAAGCACAUCCAGAAGGGCCGCCCAAUCAGGACUUCGUCCUGAUUUCGUUCUACGUUCCACUCAAAGCCCGUCAAAACCCCUGUACCAAAUAUUGGUGAUAUUCAUGGGCAAUUCCAUGAUCUUGCUGAGCUUUUUCGAAUUGGAGGGAAGUUCAUGUGUUCAGCUUCUAGUGGGCCUGAAAGUGUGCUAUCCCCAACGAAUUACUAUUCUAAGAGGAAAUCAUGAGAGCCGGCAGGUAUACUACGCUGUUGUAUCUGUUUAUUAUGAUUUUCUUUCUUGUUUAUAUAACCUCGAUGUUCCUAUGAGUAGAAUUAGUGUGAGUGAAAGGAGCUGCUGAUAGCUACUAUGUCUUGUAUCCUCAGGAAUGGCGGUGAUAAUUGGGGAUUUAAGUUUUGGUUUUUGAUAAGUAAUUGGGGCUUUAUCUCAUUGGUUCCUUAUUUGGUGCUUUUUCUUAUUGAUUCAUAUUUCGGGCUAUAUAAUGGAUUCUCUCACUCUAUAACAAAUUAGUAAAUUUUCUGAAGAAUGACCAUCUAGCGACUAACAUAGUUAAAAAAUUGCUUUGCAUUCCCAUUUUUUCUUGCCCUAUAGGUUGAUUAUCCUACCUAUUGAGCCAAAAAGGUUAAAUAGAUGUUAGAGAGUCUAAUUCUCAGAAUAUAAACUUUUAUCAGCCCUUCUUUUAUGCCACUUUGAUGUCCAGCAAAUAAGAAGUUUAGUAGUGAGAG